rnacentral:rRNA from 1 species
CGACUCUCGGCAACGGAUAUCUCGGCUCUCGCAUCGAUGAAGAACGUAGCGAACUGCGAUACUUGGUGUGAAUUGCAGAAUCCCGUGAACCAUCGAGUCUUUGAACGCAAGUUGCGCCCGAAACCAUUUGGUCGAGGGCACGUUUGCCUGGGUGUCACAC